rnacentral:rRNA from 1 species
ACAGGCUGGCAUACUACCCUAAACACACCUGCCCCCGACUAUUCUCGGAAGCUAAGCAAGGUCGGGCCUGGUUAGUAGGAUGGGAGACCACCUAGGAAGACCAGGUGCUGUAGAUG